rnacentral:rRNA from 1 species
CAGCCGCCGCGGGAAUACGGAGGGUGCAAGCGUUAAUCGGAAUUACUGGGCGUAAAGCGCACGCAGGCGGUCUGACAAGUCAGAUGUGAAAUCCCCGGGCUUAACCUGGGAACUGCAUUUGAAACUGUCAGGCUGGAGUCUUGUAGAGGGGGGUGGAAUUCCAGGUGUAGCGGUGAAAUGCGUAGAGAUCUGGAGGAAUACCGGUGGCGAAGGCGGCCCCCUGGACAAAGACUGACGCUCAGGUGCGAAAGCGUGGGGAGCAAACAGGAUUAGAUACCCCUGUAGUUCCUGUCUCUUAUAC